UUUUUUGCUAUGGUUGACUAAAUAUGGUCAGGGAAGAGAGAGGCACAAGGGAGCCUGUUUGCCUGGGAGUGCAUGUUUCAAAUGCUUAGCUGCCUAUAAAGCUGUAACAGUUUAGCCUGUGGUCACUGAGGGAAGAAUAUAAGUUAAGACUCUGUAGUGACCAUGUGGAAGUCCUGACCUCGCUUGCAGACUUGACCUCUGGAUAUGAUAAGGUGACGUUCUGUGUUCACUGAUACAAUCCCCUACUUCAUCCGGCUCAUAAAAAGAAGUGCUGAAUCAGCAAAUAGAGUGAAGGAACAAUCAAGAUGAGAUGGCUGCUGCUGAUGUGACUCUCUAGGUCAUUACCUCUCUUCCUACUGCGAAUGCUGCAUGACACUAAGCUCACAGAAUCUAGAAGCAAAUUACAAAAAAAAAAGAAGAAGGAGAAGAAGUUCUCUGAGGACUAUGAAGAAGAAAUUAGGCUCAUCUUACCAACUUUUGAAAUAUACUAUAAAAUUCUACUGAUUUUAUCAAUGUCUUGCAAAAAAAAAGAAUGAAACCAGAAAAAAGUUCAACACUUAACUGGUCAAAAUGUUUAGAAAUGUUUAUGUCCAUCAAGAACAAGGAAACACAAGUGGCAUUAAUGGCAUGAUCAGCUUCCAGAUAUGAAGAAGAAUGAAAUCAUGUCAUUUGUAGGAAAAUGGAUGGAAUAUUAUGUUAAACAAAGUAAGUUACGCUCAGAAAGUAAACACAGUGCAAACAUACCACCAGAUGCAUUGCUAAUGGCUGAUCCUGCAGAUGCCACCUUGGAAA